AAAUCCAGCCCUAGGUUUGGGGCGGGGCCAGCCUCAAGGACCCGGCCUGGGUGCAGGCAGCCCAGCGCCCCCACCCCAGCCCCGGCUCACCUGUUCCGGGGUCGCCCCGCAGAUCUUCAACUUGAUGAAGUUCGACAGCUAUGCGCGCUUCGUCAAGUCCCCGCUGUACCGCGAGUGCCUGCUAGCCGAAGCCGAGGGACGCCCUCUGCGGGAACCUGGCUCCUCGCGCCUCGGCAGCCCUGACGCCACGAGGAAGAAGCCGAAGCUGAAGCCCGGGAAGUCGCUGCCGCUGGGUGUGGAGGAGUUGGGGCAGCUGCCACCCGUUGAGGGUCCCGGGGGCCGCCCUCUCCGCAAGUCCUUCCGCCGGGGUGAGGGCAGGAGCGAGCAACAGAGAUGUGGGGAAGGCGGGAGUUUGGUUAAAUUUGGGGAGUGCCCCCUUCCUCCUACGUGGCCCACAGUCUGUAAGUCUGUGAAAAUUGAAACGCAGGUCCCAGUGACCACCACACUCCCCUGGGUGGUUCGGGUCUUGGGCUAGACCUCAGACGUUUGGAAAUCUCCA
rnacentral:sRNA from 1 species